CAUGACUUUGGUCUCCGUCCUCAUCUGGACUCUCCUCUGCUGCUGCUUGACAGAGUCCAGAGGCCAGAUCACAGUGACUCAGCCUGGAGCAGUGAGCUCUGCUCUGGGAGCCUCCGUCUCCAUCAGCUGUAGCGUCAGUCCUGCUGCGUACUUUGGGGGUUCUGACCACGCUUUAGCCUGGUACCAGCAAAAAGAAAGAGAAACUCCUAAAUUGCUCAUUACCUGGACACGACAUAGACAAUCGGGGAUUUCAAGUCGUUUUACAGGCAGUGGAUCAAGCACUGACUUCACUCUGACCAUCAGUGGAGUUCAGGCUGAAGAUGCAGCAGUUUACUACUGUCAGAGUUAUCAUGAAAUCAACAGUCAGCGUGUGUUCACACAGUGAAAAAGCGUCGUACAAAAACCUCCCUCAGUCAGACUGAACAGAAACUGAACUGACUGCUGCAGCUGGAAGCUACUGCAGAGACUGAUACAGUUCACUGAGGACACACACACACACACACACACACAUUAAACGUUAAUAUCCAACAUGUCAGCUUCAUUGAUGUCGACCAACAAACCACAGCUGACUGAAAACAGCAAGCAGAGGAUCAAACUCAGAUGAUGUCUCUUACUUUUCAUUUCAGUGUAUUAAUUAAUUUGGUUUUAAUCCCUUUUAUCCAACACAGUCCACUCACCAAAUAUACAUUUUUCAAAAGGUGGUUCCCCUGUGCUCCUGCAAACAUCACCCUGACCUCCAUCAGACACAGUAUACAAAGCUGAGACAGGAGACAGAAAUCGACAUCAUGGAGCUGGAAGAAAAUUACAAAUUCACAGAACUGAAAACAUAAAAUAUGAGCAUAUGUUGAUCAAUGUGGUUGCACCAUGAGUCCAAAAACCAGAUAAGUUCUUUGUAGGGGUGUGAUUUACAUGUAUUCAUGUAGAUGACGUUUUCAUCCAAAGCGACUUACUAUUGCUAUAAAUGUCAGAGGUCACAUACCUCUGGAGCAACGAGGGGUUAAGUGCCUUGUUCAGGGACACAUUGGUGUGUUUUCGAUGAUGCAUGAGGCGGUUUGAAGCACAACUUGAGGGAUCUUCAGAAGAAGUUUCAAAAGCUGUCUGACCAAACAAUGCUGAAUGUUUUGGGGAUGGAAUGCACCAUGUGAAGUGAGGUUUGGACAGUGGACAUCAUGCGGUGCAUGAGGUCAGUGAACCGCUUGAUAUUUAGCACAGAGAUUUCAAGUUGUUCUAAAUAUAAUAAAUUCUGUUUUGUCUUUCAUUAACAGUGUGGAAUUUGUCACAUUCAGUAAUGAUUCUGAUGAAAAAAUAAGCACAUUUUUAUCAACAGAAAUCAUUUGGUGAAAAAUGUACGACUGUGUAUUAUCUGUAUUAUGUGUAUCAUCUGUGUAGUGGCACUCAUGUUUUCCAAAGUACCACAACUUUGAGUUUUAAUUGGAACAAAUAACUUCAGAAACCAUCAGUUCUGUUUCACAUGUUCACAAUUAAAAGAUAAAGUUAUUAA